rnacentral:tRNA from 1 species
UAGCCAAGUGGUUAAGGCUGUGGAUCGCCAAUCCGGAGACGGCGGGUUCGAUUCCCGU